GGCCUUUUUUUAGCACCAGUCAAAGUGAACAGGGAGGGUUGAGGUAGUCGGUGGGAAGGGGGGAGAAAAUGAGGAGAGUGAACGGCGGGGGUGGGCUGAGGGUGUAGAGAUGAGGGAGGAAGGGAACAAGGGAGAGAGGGAGGGUUGAGUGUUGGAAUGAACUCUCUCAGGCUUUGUGGUGCGCGUUUCCCAAGGCCCCUGCCUGGCCCCUUUGAUAAAUGACACAUGUCAUUCUGUCAGCUUGUGACACUGCAGCUGGGAGGCCCUGUGAUGUAUGGCUCUGCUGAAAAAGGAAAUCAACUUUUUUCCCCCUCUCGCUCUCUCCUUAUCCCAAUGUCUGUCUGCCUCUCUCGUCCCUUCUCCCUCUGCUCUCUCCCUCCUCCCCUCAGCCUGGGCUGAGUGCAUGGCCUUUUUAUAUGAGGAUUUAGGUUUCCCCUGGUCUAGUGAGCUCCCACCUCCUCUUUCUUCCUACUGCAAUAGAGAGGCAUACGCAAAGCCAGGUUGAGGCCUCGCCAGCACCAUGAUAGUGAAAAAUUAACAACAGGCAGCCAAAUGGGUGAAGGCGCCAAGGAGAUGGAAUCAAUGCACGGCAUCUGCGGCAAGAGCAGCUAUGUAAAACACUUGCCUUAAGUCAGCCGCAUCCGGUUAAUAUUUAAUCCCUCCAUCUAUCUCCACAAAGAGCAUUUCCCUUUUAGCUUUAGCUGCCGUUUACUUUGAUUACACACAAGCGUUUAGGGUGAGCGGGGGCAAAGCAAGAAUGAUAAGAGAGCAUGCAUGCUAAGUGAUUUGCAUGGGGAUGGGAAUAUUUUCAGGUCUGAUAAUCACUCCGAAACAGGCCAUUGCCAGUUUCAGGCGAAAGAGAAGAUAUAGGCCGGAAGAAAUAAAAAUAAAUACAUAAUUU